rnacentral:lncRNA from 1 species
AUUAUUUUGCUUUAUGUAUCUACAAAGCAGACCCCACUAGGAGCCUCACAUUCAUCACCUGCUUCAGUCUUCACAAGGGCUCCCUCAGGAAAGUAGUAGAAUGCUUUCCAUCACACAGGAGAAGAAAGAGAGGCACAGAGAGGGUCGGAAGCUUCCCCAAGGUCACACAGCGGGUGUUGGUGGAGCUGGGUGUUUGGAACUGGGCGAAAGGGGUAGGCGGGCGGUCAGAGCCUGACAUCACCAUGCCGGAUCUAGAGACCUCAUUUUGCUGGGAAGCCUGUGUGAGCGUCAGGCCUGCUCACUCUGCCUCGGCUGUGGACCCCUUCCGGGCGCAAGUUUCAGCCUCGCAGACCGAGUCAGGUGUCGAAAUCCCUCCUCUGAGUCCGCAGGUGGGGAAGUGAGGCUCAGAGAGGGACAGGGGCUUGCCCCAGGUCACACAGCCCACCAGGGGCAGGGCGGGAGGAGACCCUUGACCUCCCGCUGCCCUUGGCCCUCCCCAGCUCAGAGUUCAAGGAUGCGGAGAGGACCAGCCAGGGGUUAAAAUCCACCCAAACGCGGAACGGCAGCCCCAGCCGUCCCCCGGCCCGGGCUCACUCCCAGACCGCCGCCCCCACCGCGGGCCGGCCCGCAUCUGGGCGCAGGGAACAGAUUUCCCGUUUCACACAGCGCACAAUAGGCCGCCUCAAAGGCGCGCCGCGGGCAUUGUUCGGGCCGGCGCCCGCGCGUCCUACCUCCGCGCGCGAAUUAACCCCCGUCACCCUCGCCAUUGUCGCCGCGCACUUCGGGGCCGGCCACAAAGGCGCCAGAAAACCCUGCCGUGUUCGGAAGGAUGGGGGUGGGGGGAGGGAGCCACCGGGAUGCGAGGACCUGGGCCUGCCUGCCGUGAGUCCCGUGAUAGAAAAAUGCUCACCAGCGACUGGCCUGAACAGUCUCCACAAGUCAGCUUGGCCGCAGAGUUGUAAAGUGAUUUCUGCCAACCAAUAAACUGGAGAUGCAGGAUGAAAUAAAGCUCUCAGAGAGGCUCGUGGGAAAUGCUGAGGGUCUGAGGAGGAAGGGGGAGGUUCUGAAAAGAUAAGGCUGAGAUGAGAAGAGAAAACGGUAGGCAAAGAGAUUGCAUAUUUAGUCCCUUGUUCGGGGAGGUGAGACUGGGUCUUUGCUUUCUGGUUCUCUUGCUUUGAAUUGAUUCUGAGACUCUUAAGAAGAUGUUUGCCUGAUCACCGUGAAAGGCUCAUAUAAAGUAGAUGCUGGAAGGGACCAAUAUUUAGUGAGGGCCUAGUAUGUUCUGGGCCCACAUAAACUAUCUUAUGUGAUUCUUUCUAGUCGUCACCAUAGCCAAUGCCAGCCGAGUUUGGUAUCCUCAUUCCGGGGACUAGGAAACAGAGGCUCAGAGACGCUAAGUGGUUUUUCUAAGGACACACAGCUCAUAAGUGCUGAAGCUGGGAUUUGAACUCAAGUCUGUCUGGUUCCGUGCUUACUCUUGUCAUUAUAUCUCAAUGUGUC